AUAUGCGACCAUAUCACCUUAAAAACACCUGGUUCUCAUCUGAUGUCCGAAGUUAAACAAUAUUGAGCUUAGUUAGUACUUAGAUGGGUGACCGUUUGGGAAACCUAGGUGCUGUAAACU
rnacentral:rRNA from 1 species